rnacentral:misc_RNA from 1 species
GGAAUCUAAGAGUUUCACUAUGAUGUGGAUAAAAAGCUAUGUUGAUAGUAUUCUUCCCAUUAAAGAAUCUCAUAAUUAUAAGAAAUCAUGUGAUUGAUCAGCAAAAUAUGAGCUUUAGUAAUGCUUGCAUAAAUGACUGAUUUAUGGUUUAUUGAUUAGAUGUUGUUGAGAAUUAUGGGCUUGAGAGUGUAGAUCAUCAAAUUGGCAGGGCUACAUACUGAACUGGGCUUAAACUAGGCCCCCCAUCACCAAAAUAGCUUAAGCCAUUUCGAUUUAGUUUACAACACUUACAUACC